UACAGAGGUCUCAAGCGUUGUUCGGAAUCACUGGGCGUAAAGGGCUCGUAGGCGGCCAACUAAGUCAGACGUGAAAUCCCUCGGCUUAACCGGGGAACUGCAUCUGAUACUGGAUGGCUUGAGAUUGGGAGAGGGAUGCGGAAUUCCAGGUGUAGCGGUGAAAUGCGUAGAUAUCUGGAGGAACACCGGUGGCGAAGGCGGCAUCCUGGACCAACACUGACGCUGAGGAGCGAAAGCCAGGGGAGCAAACGGG
rnacentral:rRNA from 1 species